AGGAGAAAAUAAACGAACUUUCUUUCAAAAUAUAUAUUUAUUUCAGUCAAUAAGAAUUCAUUGGAACACUUCAAUUCUAAAAAAAUCUGGUGUUAAUGCCGAAUUUCAUAGAAUUUCUUAAAUUAAUAAUCAGUAGAUGGAAUUUUAUUGCUUAUUAUUUACAAAAGUGAUCUAAAAUGCAGUCAGUCUACUUAAUCGAAGCAAAACUUCUCUAUGUUCAAUGUGCCUUUUGGAAAAAGUCUUAAAACGUGUCCAUUCUUCACCCAAUCAAUUAUAACCGACUUCGGUGGCAAAUGUGGAAUCAUAGAACUGAAAAUAAAUUUCAAUAACAAAUACUAA